GACGAACGCUGGCGGCGUGCUUAACACAUGCAAGUCGAACGAAGAGCGAUGGAAGCUUGCUUCUAUCAAUCUUAGUGGCGAACGGGUGAGUAACGCGUAAUCAACCUGCCCUUCAGAGGGGGACAACAGUUGGAAACGACUGCUAAUACCGCAUACGAUCUAAUCUCGGCAUCGAGGAUGGAUGAAAGGUGGCCUCUAUUUAUAAGCUAUCACUGAAGGAGGGGAUUGCGUCUGAUUAGCUAGUUGGAGGGGUAACGGCCCACCAAGGCGAUGAUCAGUAGCCGGUCUGAGAGGAUGAACGGCCACAUUGGGACUGAGACACGGCCCAGACUCCUACGGGAGGCAGCAGUGGGGAAUCUUCCGCAAUGGACGAAAGUCUGACGGAGCAACGCCGCGUGGGUGAUGACGGCCUUCGGGUUGUAAAGCUCUGUUAAUCGGGACGAAAGGCCUUCUUGCGAAUAGUUAGAAGGGUUGACGGUACCGGAAUAGAAAGCCACGGCUAACUACGUGCCAGCAGCCGCGGUAAUAACGUAGGUGGCGAGCGUUGUCCGGAAAUUAAUUGGGCGUAAAGGCGCGCGCCAGGCGGAUUUGUCAGUCUGUCUUAAAAGUUCGGGGGCUUAACCCCGUGAUGGGAUGGAAACUGCCAAUCUAGAGUAUCGGAGAGGAAAGUGGAAUUCCUAGUGUAGCGGUGAAAUGCGUAGAUAUUAGGAAGAACACCAGUGGCGAAGGCGACUUUCUGGACGAAAACUGACGCUGAGGCGCGAAAGCCAGGGGAGCGAACGGGAUUAGAUACCCCGGUAGUCCUGCGCCGUAAACGAUG
rnacentral:rRNA from 1 species